UACGAAGGGGGCUAGCGUUGCUCGGAAUCACUGGGCGUAAAGCGCACGUAGGCGGAUCUUUAAGUCAGGGGUGAAAUCCCAAGGCUCAACCUUGGAACUGCCUUUGAUACUGGGUAUCUCGAGUCCGGAAGAGGUUGGUGGAACUGCGAGUGUAGAGGUGAAAUUCGUAGAUAUUCGCAAGAACACCAGUGGCGAAGGCGGCCAACUGGUCCGGUACUGACGCUGAGGUGCGAAAGCGUGGGGAGCAAACAGG
rnacentral:rRNA from 1 species